UCAGUUUGGUUUGCUUGCAAACCAAAGCUGGCGACCGGCGCACGGGUGAGUAACACGUAUCCAACCUGCCUCAUACUCGGGGAUAGCCUUUCGAAAGAAAGAUUAAUAUCCGAUAGCAUAUAUUUCCCGCAUGGGUUUUAUAUUAAAGAAAUUCGGUAUGAGAUGGGGAUGCGUUCCAUUAGUUUGUUGGCGGGGUAACGGCCCACCAAGACUACGAUGGAUAGGGGUUCUGAGAGGAAGGUCCCCCACAUUGGAACUGAGACACGGUCCAAACUCCUACGGGAGGCAGCAGUGAGGAAUAUUGGUCAAUGGACGCGAGUCUGAACCAGCCAAGUAGCGUGAAGGAUGACUGCCCUAUGGGUUGUAAACUUCUUUUAUAUGGGAAUAAAGUGGUCCACGUGUGGAUUUUUGUAUGUACCAUAUGAAUAAGGAUCGGCUAACUCCGUGCCAGCAGCCGCGGUAAUACGGAGGAUCCGAGCGUUAUCCGGAUUUAUUGGGUUUAAAGGGAGCGUAGGCGGAUUGUUAAGUCAGUUGUGAAAGUUUGCGGCUCAACCGUAAAAUUGCAGUUGAUACUGGCAGUCUUGAGUGCAGUAGAGGUGGGCGGAAUUCGUGGUGUAGCGGUGAAAUGCUUAGAUGUCACGAAGAACUCCGAUUGCGAAGGCAGCUCACUGGAGUGUAACUGACGCUGAUGCUCGAAA
rnacentral:rRNA from 1 species